rnacentral:lncRNA from 1 species
GUGUCAUAUUAUUUUAUUUUUUUAUUUUCUUAUUUUUUACUUUUUUAGUUUAAAUAACUUUCUCCAAGAUUGCAUAUUAUUUAUUUUAUUUAUUCACAUCUUAUUUUCAGAUGAUAACUGAGAAGAAUCAGUGUCUAAAGAACCUAAAGAACUCUGAACAAGGCACAGCAGCUAUAAAGACUCUUAGUGUGGCUGAACCAUCCACUCUUGAAGUCAACACUCUGUCCCAGUCAGAAGUCAGAGACGUAGAGAAGCUGACAGUUGUCAGUGAUCAGUCAGUGUUAAUGGACUCAAGUAUCUGUGCAGCAUCUGAAGGGCUGGAAAAGGUAAUUCAUUAUAAAUUUGAACAAUCCCUGAAUCCUUU